rnacentral:rRNA from 1 species
GAUGAACGCUGGCGGCGUGCCUAAUACAUGCAAGUCGAGCGAACAGACGAGGAGCUUGCUCCUCUGACGUUAGCCGCGGACGGGUGAGUAACACGUGGAUAACCUACCUAUAUGACUGGGAUAACUUCGGGAAACCGGAGCUAAUACCGGAUAAUAUAUUGCACCGCAUGGUUCAAUAGUGAAAGACGGUUUUGCUGUCUCUUAUAGAUGGAUCCGCGCCGCAUUAGCUAGUUGGUAAGGUAACGGCUUACCAAGGGAACGAUGCGUAGCCGACCUGAGAGGGUGAUCGGCCACACUGGAACUGGGACACGGUCCAGACUCCUACGGGAGGCAGCAGUAGGGAAUCUUCCGCAAAGGGCGAAAGCCUGACGGAGCGACGCCGAGUGAGUGAUGAAGGUCUUCGGAUCGUAAAGCUCUGUUAUUAGGGAAGAACAAAUGUGUAAGUAACUAUGCACGUCUUGACGGUACCUAAUCAGAAAGCCACGGCUAACUACGUG